rnacentral:tRNA from 338 species
GCCCAGAUAGCUCAGUCGGUAGAGCAGGGGACUGAAAAUCCCCGUGUCGGUGGUUCGAUUCCGCCUCUGGGCACCA